rnacentral:tRNA from 1 species
GGGGAUUUAGCUUAGCGGUAGAGCGCUUGCCUAGCAAGCACAAGGCCCUGGGUUCAGUCCCCA